UACAGAGGGCGCAAGCGUUAAUCGGAAUUACUGGGCGUAAAGGGUGCGUAGGCGGCUACGUAAGUUAGGUGUGAAAGUCCUGGGCUUAACCUGGGGACUGCGCCUGAUACUGCGUAGCUAGAGUAUUGUAGAGGGAAGUGGAAUUUCCGGUGUAGCGGUGAAAUGCGUAGAUAUCGGAAGGAACAUCGGUGGCGAAGGCGACUUCCUGGACAAAGACUGACGCUGAGGCACGAAAGCAUGGGUAGCAAACGGG
rnacentral:rRNA from 1 species